GACGAACGCUGGCGGCGUGCCUAAUACAUGCAAGUAGAACGCACAGUUUAUACCGUAGCUUGCUACACCAUAAACUGUGAGUUGCGAACGGGUGAGUAACGCGUAGGUAACCUGCCUGGUAGCGGGGGAUAACUAUUGGAAACGAUAGCUAAUACCGCAUAAUAUUGAUUAUUGCAUGAUAAUUGAUUGAAAGAUGCUAUUGCAUCACUACCAGAUGGACCUGCGUUGUAUUAGCUAGUAGGUGAGGUAACGGCUCACCUAGGCGACGAUACAUAGCCGACCUGGGAGGGUGAUCGGCCACACUGGGACUGAGACACGGCCCAGACUCCUACGGGAGGCAGCAGUAGGGAAUCUUCGGCAAUGGACGAAAGUCUGACCGAGCAACGCCGCGUGAGUGAAGAAGGUUUUCGGAUCGUAAAGCUCUGUUGUAAGAGAAGAACGGGUGUGAGAGUGGAAAGUUCACACGGUGACGGUAUCUUACCAGAAAGGGACGGCUAACUACGUG
rnacentral:rRNA from 1 species